UUUCUUAACAUGUCACGGAAUGGCAUUUGGGCACUCUGCCUUCUUGCUUUUGGCUUUAAGAGAAGAUAGCCCUUAAGGGCGCAUUUCACUAAAAAACACCUUCCAAAGUUUCCAUGCCUCUUAAUUUAUCAUGGCCAAAUUAAAAGCAAAAACAUCUCUUGUUUCAAAUAUAUUUCACAAGGGCGCUAUUUUCUAUUCCCACACACAUUCUAACUUCUUUCACAACAAAUGUGAGUGAUACAGGCCAGGAUAAACAGCUGAAAAUUGGCUUUUUUAGUAUAUAAAUCUAAGAAACAGCCAAAAGGCAAUACUAUUUAACAACAACAAAAAAAAUCAACUAUAUAAUUCACAUAAGAGGCGUUUUAGGAAAAUGCAAACUGGAGGUUGAAAGAGAUCUCACUGCUCUUGCAACGGAUCUGAGUUGAAUUUCCAGUGCUAACAUCAGGAGCCUCACCAACGCCUGCGAGUCCUGCUCCACGGGAUCCAACGCCCCCUCCUGGUCUCUAAGGGUCCCUGCACUCAAGUGCACAUACCUAUGCACAAAAACAUAAUCAAAAAUAAAAAUAAAUCUUUUUUAAAUAAAAUUCCAAAUUGGAUGUGGUAGCUAAGUUUAAAGUCAAUCUGUGCUACACAGUAGAUUCAAGAUCAUCCCAGGUUACCCUUGUUCAAGACAAUAAUCCCCCACCCUCUGAAAACAAUAAUAAUUGAUUUUACGAGGAGGAGGAGGAAGAGGAGGAGGAGGAGGGGGGGGGGGGGGAGGAGGAGGAGGAGUCUGACAUAUAUAACAAGACCCUUUCACAAAAAAAGAAAAUAAAAGAAUCCAACAACUGGUCAUGGCAGAGCAUAGCCUAUAAUCCUAACACUCGGGUAGCUGAUGCAGGUGGAUGGUCAGGUGGAGAUCGACUUGUGUGAUUGGCAAGUUCCUGGCCAAUACCCUGUCCCCAAAAAGGCCCAAGAGAAACGACUUUUGACUGAGUUGUUUGAAUCUGGCUUUCUUUGCAAGGGUCUUUGCUAUGAUAGUCAUUAGAGUAAGUAAGACUGUUAGCUUCAAGCAGAUGAAUGGACAGACUGUCUCAGGGUCGUGGACUGCAUAAGUCUUUUUUCCAAAAAUGCAUCUCUGAAUCCAUAGUCUGGAGGUGCAGCGUGAGACCAAGCUCACAGAAUCAACCCUGUAGUUUCUGAACUUGGGCAUCUUUUUCACUUCAGAAGAAUGUGCUACCUACCCUAAAUCUACCAGUGCUUGCUGGCUAAUUCUCUCCUCCUCACACUAUUAAAUCAUCUCUUUUUGAUCUUCACAGCAUCUGACAAAAAUAAGCAUGGCUGAGGGAAAAUAUGCUCCAAGAGGUUUAAAACUUGCUCCAUAUCAUACACACAAUGGCGACAAAAUUCCUAGCUCCCAAGGACACACAUAAACCCAGGUGUGUGUUUGCUCCUAAAUUCAGGCCUUUUGCACCCAGGUAUGAUAUUAAGACUAUGUCUCACUACCAGAAACAGCAGGAGAAAAGAUGAACAUAACCACUGCAAUGUGUCAUGUCCUCCGAUAACAUAUACUAGGGUAGAUUUAGGGGAUCCUCAAGGCACCCACCCAUAAGACAGGAAUAUCUAUUUUGAGUUGUCGCAUGAGCAAGAUGUUUAAUAGGCUGGUGAAAUUAUGAAAUGUGUUAAUUCUCAGUUUUUAUAUAAAAAAUUGCGAUGAGGUAAGGAAGCGGGAAAAGGUUGAAAUGCUGAGUGAAACAUCUUCAGUCAAAGACAUGAGGGGAAAAAAAAUCGAUCUUCUGGUAAAUGAGGUGAUGUUGGUACGUCCACACCCUGCAUGCCUAUUCCUGAGUGAAAGAAAGCUCUGUGGUCCCCUCCUCACAGCUCUGCACUCUGGCGUAUUCCCAGAAGACAAAAACAGGGUUCCUCCAGCUCCUAUAAAGUCUCAUGCAAUAAGUCGCCAGGCCUCCACAGCAACUUGGUAUUCAUUACUAAGUUUAAGAUACUCUUCUGGGGCUGGAGAGAUGGCUCAGAGGUUAAGAGCACUGUCUGCUCAUCCAUAGGUCACGAGUUCAAUUCCCAGCAACCACAUGGUCUCACAACCAUCUGUAAUGAGAUCUGGUGCCCUCUUCUGGCCUGCAGAUAUCCAUGCAGGUGCAACGCUGUAUACAUAAUAAAUAAAUCUUUAAAAAAUAAAAAUAAAAAAGAUCCUCUUCUAUCUCAGCCCUAAUGACCCAACUCACUACUGUGGCAGUAGUUUGAAUUAGAUGUGGCCUUGUUGGAGGACAUGUGUUACUGUGGGGACAGGGUUCAACAUCUCCUAGGCUAAAGCUCUAACCAGGGUGGAAUCAAGUCUCCUCCUGACUGUCUGCAGAAGUAGACAGUCUCUCUUCUGCUGCUUGCUGAUCAAGACGUAGAACUCUUGGCUCCUCCAGCACCAUGUCUGCCAUGCCUCCCACCAUGAUGACAAUGGACUGAACCUCUGAAACUGUAAGCCAGCCCCAAUUCAAUGUUUUUCAUUACAAUAGUUGCCAUGGUCAUGGUGUCCCUUCACGGCAAUGAAACCGUAACUAAGAUACCAUCUCUCUCAUUCCUACCUUGACCCCAAUAAAAAACACUAAAAUCUCCCAUUUCAGCCUGAAGCUCUAGGAGGCCCUUCAUUUCUUUUUCUCUCUUACUGACACAGAAUGCGCCAUCAUUUCAUUGGGAUUUUUAGCCAAUGUUAUCUGGCCUCACUUGGUUCUGCCCAAAUACAGUAUGCAUUGAGUAUACUGGAAAUAUACUGAGUAUAUUGGAAAUCACUUCUUCAAUAAUAAUACUCGGGUUUUAUGUCAUGUACAGUGACAGGUCCUAAGCACAAGUGAUAGAACAGAAAGUGGCACCAAACUGUAGUAGGAGGAAUGCAUCUGUAUUUUUAUUAUUAUAGGUGUAUGCAGAGCCUAGAUUCCCAAAGCUUGUUAUGUGGUCUAUGCUAUUGUCUUUAAAGAAGAGUAUAAGAAAGAAUGAGGGUAUAUAUAUGUACACACAGACACCGGGUAAAGAAAUCUAAUUCACACGACCCCAAUGCCUCACAGAGGCAUUACAUCCAUAUAUUAUAAGGACACCUUCUAGGAUGUAGUGCUUGUCUACUUAAGAUGCUGACGAAUGUCCCAAAGCACCCUGUCCUUAAGCACACCCUCAGGGGCUGCAGACCUGUAGGGCAGCUCUAUGCAUGUGUCUGUGAGUGCGAUAAACAAGCCUUCAGGUGCUCAGGGGGCGGGCCUAGGGAUUAGAAUCAAAUUAAUGCUAAGCCUGCAGCUGGGCUGACCAAAGAAUUCCCACCCAAGUCCAGGCCUAGAAUCCUAAAUAAGAAGCUUAUUCCUACCCAAAACGGCAUAAAUAAUUAAAGUGGCUCAGACUGCCUGCCUGCCCUGAUGGGUAGUAACAAACCUCACCCCCCAAAGCCAACUCCAAGUCGUCUGGGGCAGGUAGGAGGUAGCCCAGUUAAUAAGCACUCUAUUGUUCUGCCUGGGGUCUUCAGGCUAGAGGUAUAGAUGCUGAAGGUACAUCGAGCCCCAGUCAGCAUAGCACUACCUAAAUGUUUCAGAAAAAAGGUAAAAUCGUAGGCCAGCCAGGAUCCGGAUUAUGGCAAAGCCAAGGAAGUACUAGAAUUUCUAUUACCAGAUGAAAUCCAUGGAAUCAAAUGUCUAAUUCUCAUAAUAUAACAGGUUUGGUUCAAAAAAAGGAUUAAAAAUCUCAAAUUCUGAUUUGGCUGCCACCAGAAACAGGAGCCCCGCAAGCAUGCACUGUUCAAAGGGCCACCAGAUCAUACACACUCCUAGUGCCUCCGUCCACCCACGCCCACUGACAUUUGCACAUCAGAGACUUGCCUGAUCUCCUGUGGAAAUUCACUGGCCUUUUCCUGCUUUCUGGCUACAGAAUGCAGACUGUAGGAAGCUUGGGCAUCUCUUCUCUGUUGUUCUAGGUCAGGAUGGAUUUUUUGGAUUUUUGGUCUUUGGUGGGUUUUUGUUUGUUUGUUUUGGGUUUUUUUUUUGUUUGUUUGUUUGUUUUUAAUGGCUUCCGUGGUAAUUAGUCACCUUCCAACUGCUUGAAUGGGCUCUAAAAAGCUGAAAGGCAUAAUUUCAAUCAAGUUUCCUGCAACUCAGCUUGUCCCUAGUCAGCCAGUGCCCCCUCAUAAAUGUCCUUCUGUUUCUAAUCAAAAUGGGCUUUCUCCUUAUGUGACAUUCAUAAGACCCAUUUCCUCUAUCAUGUUAGGGAGAACACAUUGCUGAUCUCGCCUUGGAGAUCUUUCAAAACUAACGGGAAGUAGGGUGGGACAAAAAUUUUCUCCAGACUACAUCAGACUAAUUCUCUCACAUCGAUGUCUACAAUGAUACUUCGUAAGAAGAGAGAGAGGCGGCUGUUGGGGGAGGACUAGAAGCCAACAACGGAGAAUAAGACACCGACUCUACCUAUCACCCUGAGUACAGCAGAAGCAGCGUCUGCUCUGGAAAUAGGACUACAAUCUAUGACAAGGAAGUGGAGGCGAUUACACAAACUGUAACCCAAGCAUCAUCCACACAUGCGAUGCCAGGAACCCUGCACAGAAAAUUCUGGAAAUUUCCAAACAAAACAAGACAAAAAAACCAAAACUUCUUUCAAGAGUAAUGGAAGAGAUGAAAAACACCUUGAUAAUCCCCUAAAGUAUAUAUAAGCUCCUACCAUAAAUCUGCCAGAUUGUACAGCCAAUGCUGACAGAGACUGCACUCAACUUGAGAGGCAUUCAGAUAAGAACCCUUGUCUGACCUCAUGUGAUCCAGAAGCUCACAACAGAGGACAACCACCAGACUUCCCAGCAGGCCAAGUGACCAUCAGUGCCUCUGUGAUCCCAGCACUGAACGCGCACAACUUCUGACUUAGCAAGGCCUGUACCUGCUGCUUUACACAUAAGUCAAGUCCCCUUGGUGGAUCUUCAGGAGGAAAAGGCACAGAAACUUAAGUUAGAAAACCAAACUCCAUCUGACCCUUCCAGAAAGUUGAUUUAGCCACUCAGGUUUCAAUGCCUAAAAGGAUAAAAUGAGCAGGUGGGUUCUGAAGGCUCCCUCAAGUUCCUUUCAGCCCCACCAGCCUCUCCUAAUUUACAACUAGAUAAAGAAAAGCGGCAGCCAAAAGGUAGAAGGCGAAUAAAACUUCUAAACUGGGCGACCUCUCGUCAGCUCUGCUGUUUGCUGAAGAUUUUCCAUGGUAUCUGAAAUGUGACACCACACCCUGUGGAAGACAGAAAGGAAUGUCUGGAUUCUCGAUCUCCACAAAUUUCUGAAGAUAGCUUAUAAAUACCCAUGCAUGUGUGUGUGGCCUUGUGCAUGAACUGGUUAAGUCAGGACAAGGCCGUAAGAGACUAGUGGGUGUCACAAGUGAAAGGGGAAAUGGUCGAAGAGCUGGAACCAGUGUGUAAACUUUAGCAGGAAGAAACAUUUACAGACUCACCAAGAAUCAGAACGCAUGGCUAGUGCUUUAUAGUAACACCCAGUUUAAAUGUCACAGUGUAGGAGGUGGCUAUCAUUGCUGCAGGAGUAAGACCACCACAGUCACAUGACAGAUGCUGUCCACAACACAAGCAAUGUCUACCCUGAGGAGAGAGGGGUUGAGCUUGUCUACGUGGUGGCUUUUUAUACUACUAAAACUGCCUAUGUGAAAACAAGAAAAUCCUCCAGUUAGGCAUCUGGACCCUAAGUCUCAAGAGCUUCCCUGUCCCAUCAUUCCUUUGACAGAGCUGUCCUUCCAAGCCAGUACAGCUCCACAGAAGCAAGCCACACAACCUGCACCUAAACCAUACCAAGCUUAUAUACUCAGAUAAAGAAACUCAGAGAGAUUAGAAAUGCCCGACUCCAAAGCCACACGGCCACUUGGAUUUAUACCAGAGCAUGGUCCCUUGAGGGGUAUUGUUGCUCCAGUAACAAGUAGUACCUCUCCACCCGGUCAGGUCAUUGGCAAUGUUUCCAAAGCUCUACCACUGAAGUACAACUGGGCUGGACAUACGGGCCCAGGCACACACACAUCCCAGGGGCCAUAGGCUUGCCUAGAAAUUCCUUAGGAAUAAAAGCUUCCCUGACUUGUCAGGAAUCCUCAGCCACCAGCAUCCUAUACAGGCUACUAUUGACUUUAUAAACUAAUGAUGCAGAAUCUUAAUGUCUAAAUUUUAGUUUGAUGAGCGUGUGAUCCCAAACCAAUCCACACUGUAGCACAAGAAAAAUGACUAUGGGAUUUCGAGCUCAGCAUAUUUCUAAUCUCUCAUGCAGUCCUGCAGUUGAGACCCUGGUCCCACAAAACCCUCUCUCCCUUGGGACCAAAGGGCUGUCAAAAGCUAAGAGGCCCCGAAAUGGAUGGAAAUCUGCCUGAAGCAAUGAUUUCCUUUCUGAUGACAAACAGACCAGACCCACCAGACUAAAAAAGUAGAAAGCCCAAAGAGUAAAAGUGACAAAUUAAUUAAUUAAUAAACAUAUUGCAAAGACAGACAGCUCAAGGGCCAAGAGUUCACGUUUUCCCAUCCCAGAAUGUACUGACAACUAUUCACUAAAUGGAAUUGCAGUUCUUCCAAAACCUUUUUGAAAGCCAAAGGACAGAGAAAUAUUAAACAAGCUCAUGUGUUAAGUUUUCUCUCUGAAGCCAACCAGGAACCAUCAACAAAAAGAGUCCCACCUUCCAAAUUCCCAUUUCCAGGGAGAGCUGGUUUUGAUCUGCAGUCGGUCACUGCACCACCUUUACAAGCCUGCCCUAAAUGCCAGCACCCAGGGAGGGAGAUGCAAAGACCUCCUGAACAGAGAACCUGUACAGGCUUCAGAGCGGGCAAGGUCAGUGGUCACGCAGGGAAACGGGAUACUGUAACCAUUUGCAAGAGAAGAGGACUGAGGUGGGGUAAGGAUCUCCCAGAUCAUUCCCAAGUGUCUAGGGCCUUAAAAAACAUUGUGACCACAACAUAGACCACACCUUCAACAACAUACACCCUAAGGUAAGAACCCGCUAGCAUGACAUUUUAUGUUCACUACAGAAACUAAAGUUCACUGAAACUUGUCUCAUGCCCUAACAUAGGCUAACACAGAAACAUUAACACAGAAGGAAAAAGCUGAAUUAUGGGACCAAUCUCAGGUAAAUGACAAAGGCUGUGUAGACCCAUAGGAUAGAUUAACUGAACCAUUGAUCAGGGCUCUCAGGGCCCACACUUCUUGAAUCAGAUUGGCUCAUUCUGGGGUUGGGGAUUUAGCUCAGUGGUAGAGCGCUUGCCUAGCAAGCGCAAGGCCCUGGGUUCGGUCCCCAGCUCCAAAAAAAGGGGGAAAAAAAGAGUGUGUGCCAGAUUGGCUCAUUCUUUCCCCCUCUGAUGUCUGACAUUUCCCCACUCACUUUUGUCUCACUGAAGGCCUUAGCAUAUUAAGAAAUGCGUGUUUUCAUCCCUUACCUGCCAUCACUAGUGUGUGGCAGGAGCCAGGCCGGCUACUCUGCCCAUCUUUUUGUUUCCUCAUUUGUAAAAUACCCACAAGAAAUAAAGAGAACCCAAACGGGGUGCUGCUCUGUAUAAGAGGACUGGGGACCUAACCCUCAUGUCUCAGGCCCUGGGUUGUAGCCAGUAAGAUGGGGUUGUGCAAAGUGAGAAUACGAACCUACCGGUUUCAGAGGGUACUUGAGUUCAUGAAUUAAAUGAAUUGAUUUUCAUAAAAUAGUUUAAAGGGUGCCCUGACAUUAGGUGAGUAAUGUCACCUUUGAUUAAAAUAAAAGUUAAGUUUUUAAAUGAUUUCUUCCUCCAGCAAUAAAUCACAGGGCACCGUCAAAGUCAAGUUUAAAAAUGAGAGCCAAGCCUAGGGAUGCACGCGUGUAAUUUCAGCACUCGGGAGGUAAAGGUGGGAGGACUGGGAGGACGCCAGGGCUAAAUAUUGAAAAUUCGAGGCCAGCCUGGGUAGAUGAUAUCCCUUUGCAAAAAGGAGUGAAUGCAGCUGUUGCAAAGUUUCUCUGGGGCAAAUGAAAAUAUUCUAAAAUUAGACUGUGGUGGCAAUGACACAAGUCUAUAAAUCUGUUACACUUUAAAAUGAGUUUUAUGGCAAAGUAUACUUCAAUAAAGUAGUUCUUAAGACAA